rnacentral:lncRNA from 1 species
UUGAACGAGGGUCGUUAUCUCUUUCGAUUGUAUCACAAGGUGGAUGUGGAUACGAUUGAGGCUGGUGGUCCGUGGACUUUUAAGUCUCAUCUUCUUGUUAUGCAUCGUCUACGGGGCAGGAAGAUCCUAUGGUUUCUCUUGUUACCAUUGAUUUCUAGAUUUUAGUUCAUGACUUGCCCCAUGUAGAAGACGUGCCAAUAGACGUUAAAGCCAUCGUCAUAAAGGAGCAACGAUGGUAAGAGAAGAUUUCUUUCAUUCUAAGUCCGAAGUGUUUGUUUUCUGUUUUGAAAACUCGGAGGAGCUCAGAAAUCUACGAAGGUUGGACGAAAUGAGAGACAUUUGUGAAGCGAGUAAGGGUUUUCAACUCCUAUAGAGAAAUUCCACCAGUACGUUGGAAGCGGAUGAUUUUGCAGGGAAGAUUGAAGGACUUGGGUUUUUUGUUUGCGUUUUGUUUAGAAGUUUUUUGUCUUUUUAGGUUUUUCAUUUUAGUGCUUUAAGUUUUUUCAGUCUUUUUAGGGAUACUUGAUGCACCACCCAUUAGCAGCAAUAGGCUUCUGCCAGCUGACUGGUGGGCUGAAAUGUUGCAAGGUUUAGGAUUGUGUUUCAUCCUUUAAUCUUCUAUUUUAAUGCAUCGAUUGAUUUUAUUUGAAAAAAAUUUGUAAGUAAAUCCAUUCCUAUAUAUAUAUAUAUAUAUUAAAGUUAGUUUCUAAAGGGAAAU